GUCUAUGGCCAUACCACCCUUAACACGCCUGAUUUAGUCUGAUCUCAGAAGUUAAGCAGGGCCAUGCCUGGUCAGUACUUGGAUAGGAGACAGAUUUGCCCCUAUGUGAAGACAAAUCACAGAAU
ensembl:rRNA 5S_rRNA 5S ribosomal RNA